UACAGAGGGUGCGAACGUUGCUCGGAAUUACUGGGCGUAAAGCGCAUGUAGGCGGAUCCAUAAGUCGGGCGUGAAAUCCCCAGGCUCAACCUGGGAACUGCGCUCGAAACUGUGGGUCUUGAGUGUUGGAGAGGAUGGCGGAAUUCCUGGUGUAGAGGUGAAAUUCGUAGAUAUCUGGAGGAACACCGGUGGCGAAGGCGGCAUCCUGGACCGGUAUUGACGCUGAGGCGCGAAAGCCAGGGGAGCAAACGGG
rnacentral:rRNA from 1 species